AGGAGAAUGAGCGCGGCUGCCUGGGGAAGGGAGGCUGCGGGGUGUGGACUAGAGCGCGGCGCUCCACACCCCCGAGUCCCUGUCUGCCGGGGCAGGGCGGCGGGACGGGGAACGGGGCUGGCUGCGGGCAGGGCCCUGCCCCCCUGCCGCUCCGCCGCCGUUGGCCAUAGGUAGGAUUUACAUGGGUGCUCCCCGCCGCUUCCCGGUUAAUGGGCAGCUAAUUUUUCGAUCUACAUGAUAUUGAAGAUACUUAAAGCAAACUGCUUAAUAUGCUGGGCUGACAGGCUCAUUAAGCUGAAUAGUAGGAUUGCUGUCAUAUGCACUUCAGGCACUUACAAAAAGAAUCAUACAUAGUCUUUGAAGGAGUCAGGAAGAAUUGAACCUGCUUAAGUGUCACCCCCUAAAGAAAAAAGUCACAAAAUGUAAGUCACCAAAUCUAACUAUGGGGAAAAUGUUGCUCUUUUGUAUUCACAAAAUUACACAAAUUAUAUAGAGUAUAAAUACAGGGUAUAAAAUAGCAAAUAUUUUAUCAGAAUCAGAUCUCUACACUAAAAUCUAGUGUUAGGGUACAACAGCAGCUGAUAAAACCAUUCUGUUUUCACUUGGGAAGAGUAAUUCUAACGUCUGUUCA